CUUCCGUAGGGGUAACCUGCGGAAGGAUCAUUACCGAGUGCGGGUCCUUUGGGCCCAACCUCCCAUCCGUGUCUAUUGUACCCUGUUGCUUCGGCGGGCCCGCCGCUUGUCGGCCGCCGGGGGGGCGCCUCUGCCCCCCGGGCCCGUGCCCGCCGGAGACCCCAACACGAACCCUGUCUGAAAGCGUGCAGUCUGAGUCGAUUGUUUGCAAUCAGUUAAAACUUUCAACAAUGGAUCUCUUGGUUCCGGCAUCGAUGAAGAACGCAGCGAAAUGCGAUAACUAAUGUGAAUUGCAGAAUUCAGUGAAUCAUCGAGUCUUUGAACGCACAUUGCGCCCCCUGGUAUUCCGGGGGGCAUGCCUGUCCGAGCGUCAUUGCUGCCCUCAAGCCCGGCUUGUGUGUUGGGUCGCCGUCCCCUCUCUCCGGGGGGACGGGCCCGAAAGGCAGCGGCGGCACCGCGUCCGAUCCUCGAGCGUAUGGGGCUUUGUCACAUGCUCUGUAGGAUUGGCCGGCGCCUGCCGACGUUUUCCAACCAUUCUUUCCAGGUUGACCUCGGAUCAGGUAGGGAUACCCGCUAAACUUAAGCAUAUCAAUAAGCCGGAGGAA
rnacentral:rRNA from 1 species